rnacentral:rRNA from 1 species
UACGUAGGGCGCAAGCGUUGUCCGGAAUUAUUGGGCGUAAAGAGCUCGUAGGCGGCCAGUUGCGUCCGCUGUGAAAUCCCGGGGCUCAACCCCGGGCCUGCAGUGGAUACGGGCUGGCUAGAGGCAGGCAGGGGAGAACGGAAUUCCUGGUGUAGCGGUGAAAUGCGCAGAUAUCAGGAGGAACACCGAUGGCGAAGGCAGGUCUCUGGGCCAUUACUGACACUGAGAAGCGAAAGCAUGGGGAGCGAACAGG